UAUUCAUGAACUGGAUGCCCAUGAGUCAGUACUUGGGUUGAUACAUACGUACAUACAUACAUACAAUUGCUGUAAAUAUAGCUUUUUAUCUGAAUAUAUAGUGAAGUAUAAAAUUUCACUAUCCUGGUGAUCUUUUUACUCUACAAUUGCUGUAAAAGCCUGGACAUCCCACUUUUCACCGAGUAUUUCUGUACAAUUCUGUUGGAGAGAGUACAACUGCAGGUCUAAUUCUGUGUGCUAAAAAGGAAAGUAAGGAUGUAAAAUCAAGGAGGCCAGCUGUUCCAUUUUGCUUUUGAACAGCUCACCCAACUUGCACUUGAUGCAACGAUUCGAUUUUGCUGCUAAAAGACAUGUUCAAUUGAAUAUAUUUUCAUUCUAGAGCUGCAAGUACAUAUUCAAUUAAAUGUCAUUUUCUUUUCAUUUUGCUGCUAGAAAGCCAGGUUCAAUUGAAUACCCUAUCUAAUCAAAUUUUCUAUUUGUUCA